AUUGAACGCUGGCGGAAUGCUUUACACAUGCAAGUCGAACGGCAGCACGAGGGCAACCUUGGUGGCGAGUGGCGAACGGGUGAGUAAUACAUCGGAACGUGCCCAGUCGUGGGGGAUAACGUAGCGAAAGCUACGCUAAUACCGCAUACGAUCUAUGGAUGAAAGCGGGGGACCGUAAGGCCUCGCGCGAUUGGAGCGGCCGAUGGCAGAUUAGGUAGUUGGUGGGGUAAAGGCUCACCAAGCCUGCGAUCUGUAGCUGGUCUGAGAGGACGACCAGCCACACUGGAACUGAGACACGGUCCAGACUCCUACGGGAGGCAGCAGUGGGGAAUUUUGGACAAUGGGCGCAAGCCUGAUCCAGCCAUUCCGCGUGCAGGAUGAAGGCCUCGGUUGUAACGUAGACUUUGUUACGGUACGAAAGGUUUACCGUUAAUACGGUAGAGCUCAUGACGGUA
rnacentral:rRNA from 1 species